GACGAACGCUGGCGGCGUGCUUAACACAUGCAAGUCGAACGGAAAGGCCCCUUUGGGGGUACUCGAGUGGCGAACGGGUGAGUAAAACGUGAGUAACCUGCCCUUGACUUCGGGAUAACUUCAGGAAACUGGGGCUAAUACCGGAUAGGAAUCCUUGCUGCAUGGUGGGGGUUGGAAAGCUUCGGCGGUUUUGGAUGGACUCGCGGCUUAUCAGCUUGUUGGUGGGGUAGUGGCUUACCAAGGCUUUGACGGGUAGCCGGCCUGAGAGGGCGACCGGCCACAUUGGGACUGAGAUACGGCCCAGACUCCUACGGGAGGCAGCAGUGGGGAAUAUUGCACAAUGGGCGGAAGCCUGAUGCAGCAACGCCGCGUGCGGGAUGACGGCCUUCGGGUUGUAAACCGCUUUCAGCAGGGGCGAAGCUUGUGGUGACGGUACCUGCAGAAGAAGCACCGGCUAACUACGUG
rnacentral:rRNA from 1 species